UGGAGGGUCCUCCUCUCGGACGAGGGAUUCAGGAGUCUUUAUACUUCCCAAUUGAGGGCAAUCAGACCAAGUUGAUGCAAGUGUCUGAGGAGUGGCAUGACAUUCAGAGGAAGGGCAAGGUUCCUUUUGGCAAGGUUAACAACCUGUCUUUUCCUCCAUUUGAUGAUUGGCUUAGGAAGAGGAUUGAGCUCACACAUUUACCAUUUCCUGGAGGUGAUCCUUGGUGUCCUUUGAUUGAGGGGCC
rnacentral:lncRNA from 1 species